GAUGAAGAACGCAAGCGAAAUGCGAUAAGUAGUGUGAAUUGCAGAAUUCAGUGAAUCAUCGAAUCUUUGAACGCACAUUGCGCCCCUUGGUAUUCCAUGGGGCAUGCCUGUUCGAGCGUCAUUUGUACCUUCAAGCUCUGCUUGGUGUUGGGUGUUUGUCUCGCCUCUGCGUGUAGACUCGCCUCAAAAUAAUUGGCAGCCGGCGUAUUGAUUUCGGAGCGCAGUACAUCUCGCGCUUUGCACUCAUAACGACGACGUCCAAAAGUACAUUUUUACACUCUUGACCUCGGAUCAGGUAGGGAUACCCGCUGAACUUAAGCAUAUCAAUAAGCGGAGGA
rnacentral:misc_RNA from 1 species